rnacentral:rRNA from 1 species
GUCUUUAGUUGCCAGCAUUUAGUUGGGCACUCUAGAGAGACCGCCGGUGAUAAACCGGAGGAAGGUGUGGAUGAAGUCAAGUUAAUCAUGCCCCUUACAUUCUGGGCUUCACAGUUAUACAAUGCUACGGACAAAGGGCAGCAAGUUCGCGAGGACAAGCAAAUCCCAUAAACCGUGGCUCAGUUCAGAUCGUAGGCUGCAACUCGCCUACGUGAAGGAGGAAUCGCUAGUAAUCGCAGGUCAGCAUACUGCGGUGAAUACGUUCCCGGGCCUUGUACACACCGCCCGUCACACCAUGGAAGUUGGCCACGCCCGAAGCCGUUACUCCAACCCUUGUGGAGGAGGACGUCGAAGGUGGGGCUGAUGACUGGGGUGAAGUCGUAACAAGGUAACC